rnacentral:rRNA from 1 species
UGUAUUUAUUAGAUAAAAAACCAAUGCCCUUCGGGGCUUUUUGGUGAUUCAUGAUAACUUUACGGAUCGCAUAGCCUUGCGCUGGCGACGGUUCAUUCAAAUUUCUGCCCUAUCAACUUUCGAUGGUAAGGUAUUGGCUUACCAUGGUUUCAACGGGUAACGGGGAAUUAGGGUUCGAUUCCGGAGAGGGAGCCUGAGAAACGGCUACCACAUCCAAGGAAGGCAGCAGGCGCGCAAAUUACCCAAUCCCGACACGGGGAGGUAGUGACAAUAAAUACUGAUACAGGGCUCUUUUGGGUCUUGUAAUUGGAAUGAGUACAAUUUAAACCUCUUAACGAGGAACAAUUGGAGGGCAAGUCUGGUGCCAGCAGCCGCGGUAAUUCCAGCUCCGAUAGCGUAUAUUAAAGUUGUUGCAGUUAAAAAGCUCGUAGUUGAAACUUGGGCCUGGCUGGCGGGUCCGCCUCACCGCGUGCACUCGUCCGGCCGGGCCUUCCUUCUGAAGAACCUCAUGCCCUUCACUGGGCGUGCUGGGGAACCAGG